rnacentral:rRNA from 1 species
UACGUAGGGGGCGAGCGUUAUCCGGAAUUAUUGGGCGUAAAGAGUACGUAGGUGGUUUUGUAAGCGCAGGGUGAAAGCCCGGGGCUUAACACCGGUUAGCCCUGCGAACUACAAGACUUGAGUGCAGGAGGGGAAAGUGGAAUUCCUGGUGUAGCGGUGAAAUGCGUAGAUAUCAGGAGGAACACCGGUGGCGAAGGCGGCUUUCUGGACUGUAACUGACACUGAGGUACGAAAGCGUGGGGAGCAAACA